UACAGAGGGGGCAAGCGUUGUUCGGAAUUACUGGGCGUAAAGGGCGCGUAGGCGGCCGCCUAAGUCAGACGUGAAAUCCCUCGGCUCAACCGGGGAACUGCGUCUGAUACUGGGUGGCUUGAAUCCGGGAGAGGUGAGUGGAACUCCGAGUGUAGAGGUGAAAUUCGUAGAUAUUCGGAAGAACACCAGUGGCGAAGGCGGCUCACUGGCCCGGUACUGACGCUGAGAUGCGAAAGCGUGGGGAGCAAACAGG
rnacentral:rRNA from 1 species